UAGCCCCGUAAUCUAGUGGUGAGGAUCUUGGACUCUGAAUACAGUAGUCCGAGAUCAAAUCUUGGCGGGGCCUACG